rnacentral:rRNA from 1 species
AAGAAGGCUUUCGGGUUGUAAAGCACUUUCMGCKAGGAAGAAAGCCUCUGGGCCAAUACCCCAGAGGAAGGACAUCACUCGCAGAAGAAGCACCGGCUAACUCCGUGCCAGCAGCCGCGGUAAUACGGAGGGUGCGAGCGUUAAUCGGAAUUACUGGGCGUAAAGCGCGCGUAGGUGGCUUGGCACGCCGGUUGUGAAAGCCCCGGGCUCAACCUGGGAACUGCAUCCGGAACGGCCAGGCUAGAGUGCAGGAGAGGAAGGUAGAAUUCCCGGUGUAGCGGUGAAAUGCGUAGAGAUCGGGAGGAAUACCAGUGGCGAWGGCGGCCUUCUGGCCUGACACUGACACUGAGGUGCGAAAGCGUGGGUAGCAAACAGGAUUAGAUACCCUGGUAGUCCACGCCGUAAACGAUGUCGACUAGCCGUUGGGACCUUUAAGGACUUAGUGGCGCAGUUAACGCGAUAAGUCGACCGCCUGGGGAGUACGGCCGCAAGGUUAAAACUCAAAUGAAUUGACGGGGGCCCGCACAAGCGGUGGAGCAUGUGGUUUAAUKSGAUGCAACGCGAAGAACCUUACCUACCCUUGACAUCCAGAGA